rnacentral:rRNA from 1 species
CGAAAGCCUGACGGAGCAAUACCGCGUGAGGGAUGACGGCCUGUGGGUUGUAAACCUCUUUUCUCAAGGAAGAAGUUCUGACGGUACUUGAGGAAUAAGCAUCGGCUAACUCUGUGCCAGCAGCCGCGGUAAUACAGAGGAUGCAAGCGUUAUCCGGAAUCACUGGGCAUAAAGCGUCUGUAGGUGGUUUGGUAAGUCUGCUGUUAAAGACUGGGGCUCAACCCCAGAAAAGCAGUGGAAACUGCUAGACUUGAGUGUGGUAGAGGUAGAGGGAAUUCCUAGUGUAGCGGUGAAAUGCGUAGAUAUUAGGAAGAACACCAAUGGCGAAGGCACUCUACUGGGCCAUAACUGACACUGAGAGACGACAGCUAGGGGAGCAAAUG